AAUGACAUAGUUUAUGAUAGAAUGAUCUCUCUGCAAGAGAUAGGUGAAAGUUUUUCUGUUGUUG
rnacentral:tRNA from 1 species